ACAGAGAAGGCUAUAGUUCUAAAAUCAAGAUAGAAGAAGAAGUAAAUAAUGAUGUCUUCCAGGUCAAUUAGGUCCUUUCGAGGAGCUGAAGUUGAUCUAAGGCAUCAUUCUUGGAGUGGUCCACAUAGCUCUGGGAGUGGAUGAGUGGCAGUGGCGAAGUGGAGGCAAAGGCCAGUGUAAAGAUGGCGAGGACCUGGGACAUUUCUCUUGACGUACUUAGCUGUGUUGUCAUCUCAGGAAGUGGU